GAUGAACGCUGGCGGCGUGCCUAAUACAUGCAAGUCGAGCGAAUGGAUUAAGAGCUUGCUCUUAUGAAGUUAGCGGCGGACGGGUGAGUAACACGUGGGUAACCUGCCCAUAAGACUGGGAUAACUCCGGGAAACCGGGGCUAAUACCGGAUAACAUUUUGAACCGCAUGGUUCGAAAUUGAAAGGCGGCUUCGGCUGUCACUUAUGGAUUGACCCGCGUCGCAUUAGCUAGUUGGCGAGGUAACGGCUCACCAAGGCAACGAUGCGUAGCCGACCUGCGAGGGGGAUCGGACACAGUGGGACUGAGACACGGCCCAGAAUCCUACGGGAGGCAGCAGUAGGGAAUCUUGCGCUAUGGACGAAAGUCUGACGGAGCAACGCCGCGUGAGUGAUGAAGGCUUUCGGGUCGUAAAACUCUGGUGUUAGGGAAGAACAAGUGCUAGUUGAAUAAGCUGGCACCUUGACGGUACCUAACCAGAAAGCCACGGCUAACUACGUGCCAGCCGCCGCAGUAA
rnacentral:rRNA from 1 species